AGGCCUGGAGAGAGAGGCAGGGUCUGAUCUGUAGCCUCCAUGACAGCUGUUGAUCAGCCCCUGCCUCUCUCUUUCUCUUGG
rfam:Myotis brandtii contig260934, whole genome shotgun sequence.